GAUGAACGCUGGCGGCGUGCCUAAUACAUGCAAGUCGAGCGAACAGACGAGGAGCUUGCUCCUUUGACGUUAGCGGCGGACGGGUGAGUAACACGUAGGUAACCUACCUAUAAGACUGGGAUAACUUCGGGAAACCGGAGCUAAUACCGGAUAAUAUUUCGAACCGCAUGGUUCGAUAGUGAAAGAUGGCUUUGCUAUCACUUAUAGAUGGACCUGCGCCGUAUUAGCUAGUUGGUAAGUUAACGGCUUACCAAGGCAACGAUACGUAGCCGACCUGAGAGGGUGAUCGGCCACACUGGAACUGAGACACGGUCAAGACUCCGACGGGAGGCAGCAGUAGGGAAGCUUCCGCAAUGGGCGAAAGCCUGACGGAGCAACGCCGCGUGAGUGAUGAAGGUCUUCGGAUCGUAAAACUCUGUUAUUAGGGAAGAACAAACGUGUAAGUAACUGUGCACGUCUUGACGGUACCUAAUCAGAAAGCCACGGCUAACUAC
rnacentral:rRNA from 1 species